CAUAUUAUACUUGUGCACCUUGCGUCCAGAUUUCGAAUGCUGAUGUUGCUGUGUAUGGCGGGAGCGGGCAUUGAAGAUGUACCUGCGAUCCAGUCAUAGCUUCCUCUUAUUCAUGGUAGCUUUAGAAAUUUUAAUUUGUUCAUGUAUAUUUCAAACAAAUGAUAUAUUUUAUUCAUACCAGCUUUGCAAAUUCAAAAUCUUAGAAGCUCAUGAUUUGUAUUACCAGUCCUUGGGAAGUGUAUAAAGGUUCAGUUAUUUUAUUAUUUAUUUAUCUCAUUAAAUUGGAUAGUUGUUAAUUAGCUUACCCAGCGGGUUGGGUUAGGUGCCAUCACGACUAGUUGGAUUUUUGGUCGUGACAAGUUGGUAUCAGAGCUCUAGGUUCAUAGGUUCUACAAGUAAUGAGCAAGUGUCUAGUAGAGUCUUGCGGAUUUGUAUGAUGACAUUCAUACCUAUCUUCGAGAGGCUACAAGGCAUUUAGGAUAAGCUUCCCAUCUUUCUUUCUUUAUCGUGCGACAUUGAUUCAGCUUGAAGCGUAUCUCUUUGAAUUUCUUCCACUCACGUGUAUGUGUAUGUGAACGCUUGGUGUCAAUUGUGUGCAUUGACGGCUUGUGAUUAUAUAAAUGAGGUACGGGAUGUGUUUUCUGUAUUUUGGUGAUGGGCCAGUCUAGAGGACUUGAGGCCAGGUUUAGACCGCAGCUUAGGCUCGGUUGUUUCAGUUGUGAGAACUUGUACCUUUGGACUUAUAUGUCCGGUAGUGUCCCUAUGAGUCAAUUUUGUGGCUCGAUGAGCGGUGGAAUGGCUAUAUGAUGAGUAUGAUGUGAUUGCGGGAUGUGUUCAAAUGAUUUGAAUGUGACGAGAAUAGUUUUCUUGAGAUGUAAAAAGGGCCAUUGGAUGCUUGAUUUCUGUCUUGAUGUGACGUACGGUCUCGAGUUGUGAGUGUGUUGAAGGAUCUGUCAUACUGUUUAAUUGGAGCGAAGUAGAUUUUCCAUGUCUUGUUGAUGAGCUCAAACUCAGUGAGGUUAAGUGAUUACGUAGUAGUUGUAGCUGUAAAAUGGUAUAGAAAGAUGCCAGUUUGAGGCUAAGAAGGUGGGUUAUCUCAUGCGGAGUAAUAUAUGUAGGUGUGUUCCUUAUAAUAUUAUGUGGAGAGUUUCUUUUCUAUCAGCGGGGUGUAUAUGUUGAGAUUUGAGUUUGGAUUGGUUGAAAAAGUUGACUUGACUGUCACGAAGAUGAAUGCGAGUUUAGCGGAUGAUUGAGGUACUGUAUGGUAUGUGUUGCAUGAGCUUAUGAAGUACUUGGUUGAUUUUCAGUGCGGGGUUUUUGGCUGUAAUAGAGUAUGCGUAUUAUGAGUUAUCGAGUGUUUUGUUCUAUGGCUUUGAGCCAAGUGGGGGAGCCUGCUAUUGACAAUUUGAUCUCAUGGUUAUGUGUUAAAUACUAGUUUUGGGUGUGAGGUAUAACUGUGGAUCCGUUAUAACUUGCAGAGGAUGAGAUCGAGGAUGACUCGAGAAAGAAAAUUCCUGGAUACAGGUUAUAUUGCACUUUAUGAGUAUAUGAAAAUCAUGGGAUGAGUGAGUUGUUAUUUGUGAAGGAUGUAGUGCGCACGAAGUAUGAAUUAGAUCGGUGGUGUUAAGGCAGGGUUACUUCUUUGAGUGUUGUUGUGUUAAUAGAGCACGUGUCUUUUGGCUUGUUUGGGCGGUGCAAUUUGGAUUUGAGCAGAGUAGAUGACUCUCAAGGAAAUUCUAAAGAGUUAAAGAUUUAUAUGUAGCAUUUGAGAAUUGUUCGGAUUUGUAUGUCGCUAGAAUCGGUUAUUUACAUUGGAUGGUACCGGGACUUGCGGUAAUUAUGUAUGACUAUGGUUUCGACAUUUUAGUAUAAAAAAAGGAAAAAAAAGGAACAAUUUUAAAUUCACAUAAAGUCUUUUCAGAGUGGGUGUCUCGGUUGUGGUAUUUAUGGGGGUUCUUAGGAAGAAUACAACGGCUUAUAGGCCUUAGGCCGGUGUGGUUUUAUGUUAGGAUGUCUUAUAGUGAGCUUUGGGUAAGGAUCGCGAUGUUCUGACAAGGAGAAGUGUCAACUUGAGGGUAAUUCAGAAGAAACUCGGAGAAAAUAGGACGACUGGGUAGUUGGCUGGAUCAAUAUGGUAAUGGUAUGCUCGGUUCUUUUGGUUCUUAUGAUGAGGUGAGGCUUCACGGGUAUUUUUUGGCAAUACUCUCGGAUUUGACAACCUGCGUGGCUUGGUAGAGUUAGGGAGAUUCAGCUCUAAUAGCUUGGUUAUGUGCAAAUGGGUUUCGAAGAGUUCUCGAUAGUUUCUAUCACGGUUUGAGACAGAUAUUUUCUACAGGCGUGAGGAACAUGUUGUGUAUUGUGAUUUCCACCUGGAUAGGAGCAAAUGGAAGGUUUCUAACUAACCGAGGAUGUAUUAUACUGGUGACUUAGAGUGUUAAUGAGGUUCUCGUGUUUUCAUGUAAUGGCCUAAUAGAGGCGGCGCGGGGAAUGAGAUUGAGAUUUGCAUACGCAAGUAUACGAUUCAGUUUUGAAGGGAUUUUCAUGAAUUCUUAGACAACAUGGGCGGUUUCAUAUGACUAGAUGAAUAUUUAUCACUACUUGGUAUUUCCUGUGAUGGGUGCGCAUUUCAUAAGGUGCACUGUGCUUUGACUUACGGAUGUUUCGUUGGUAUUGCUGUACUCACCUAGUUGAUCGACUGCUGAUAUUCAAAUUUUUUCUAUGUGGCACGGAAGAAUUAAAGAAGUAUUCCUCGUGGGAUGAUCGUGCAUGAAAGAUGUGUUUGUCAUUCAAGUGCUAGAGUUGGGAUCAGUUAUGGUGAUUCAUGUGUCCUAUGAAUCUAGAGACUGGGAGUUCUCAGAAGCAUAUUGUUUCGGGGUUGUGGCCUGUUUGAGGUGAGUAUUUUAUUUAAACUCAGUGGAGGCACUAGUUGCGUUAAUUAUUUGUGAUAGCUACGCACUAUGAGUGCGCAUAUAUGUGAGGUUUGAGCUCAUGUGCGAGCAUCGGGGCAAGUAUUCAUACUCAGAAGAAUUCUUAGGCUAUGAUAUGCCUUGAGUUGACUGUUAAGCAUAAAGUUAUAACGUUCUCGUAUUCGUACCUUUGUUGAGAACUAUCUGAGCCAUACUUGAGGUUACAAAGAGGCUAAUUCCCUGAAUAAACUUGGUAGUUACUAUUUCUGCGAUAACUUGCCGAUUUGAGCUGUGAUAGCACACUUUGCACAUGCCUACACUAUGGUGUAUUAUUUAUACUAGUCCAGGAGCAUGGAAAUCUUAUUUCAUUUAUCACAUACAUGUGUACUUGUAUAGUUGCACCUGUAUGAUAUGCUUGGACUGGAGGCCUGUGACUAUGCCAGACGAUAUAUAUUAUUGGCAUGUGAGUUGUCCGUGCGGGUCCAGAUAUUGAUACUAUAGCAUGUGAGUUGUCAGUGAGGUUGAUGUUAAUGUGAGCUCUAGGAGAUCUGGUUACCGUUAUUAGAUUCGUGUGUCUUGGUUCUACUAUGUAUGAUGAGCUCAUAGCAUUGCGGUUGUGGUGGUGCUUGUUGAACUUGCGAAACGGUUCUCUUCUUUGAGACAUUUUUCCAUUUUUGGGUGCACGGAUUGUGCAGUUUUUGGCUUGAGUUAUAUUGGUGUGGCGUGUCUGUGGAAUAGUUGUAUUUGAUAAUAUAAGGUCACUAAAACUAGAAUGGGUACUGUCAGGUUUGAUUUCGGCAUGUUUGGAAGAAUAAUUUUUGAAGUCGGCUUAGAUAAUUGGCUAUGGUCCUUGUCGAACGAGGGAAAGCUUCAUGACUUGUUGAUCUGAUAAGUGGUUAUAAGAUUCUGCGUGUUUCUUUCAUUAUCAACAGUGUACGAAGGUUUUGGAAUGAGGUUUUGUUUGACAUGAGGUUUAUCACCGGUAUCAAGUUUGUUUUUAAGCAGCUACAGUGAUUAGAAAUUAUUGCGAGUAUGUGAGUUGUGUGGUAUAUCAUGUGAUUACAUCUUGGGUUAUAACUAUGGCUUAUUACAGCAUGUUCAGACUUAUACAAUGUGUAGAUGUGAGAUUCGGGUCUUGAAAAGAAUUUCGAAUGUUAGAGAUUGGUAUCCAAGGUUUAUGAGCUAAGGUUGAAUUAAGGAUCUUUAGAAAAUGUUAUUUGGUCAGGCCUAUAUGGAACAGGGUGAUGCGGGAUCACCCCGGGUAUGUGCGUGGUAAGGUGGCAUAGUGAUUUGAAGGCUUAGGAACAACUCUUGGCACGUUCGAAGACGGAUAUAUGUUUAAGUGGGGGAGAAUGUAACGACCCGAUAAGUCGUUUUGAGCAUUUACGCUCCUUUCAGCUAUUUGAAGUCUUGAGUAGGUUUAUAUGAUGUAUUAUGACGUGUGUGAAUCAUUGAUUUUGGUUUUCAGGUGUUGCGGAAUUAGUUCGGAAUGAUGAAUUUCAUGUUUGAAGUUUUAAUUGGAAGAGUUGACCAAGUUUGACUUUUUAGUAUUCGACCUCGGAUAAGAGUUUUGAUGAUUCUGUUAGGUCCGGAUGGUGAUUUUGAACUCGGACGUAUGCCCGGAAUUUCAUUUUGGAUAUUUCUAGAAGGUUUCGGCACUAACCGGCGAAAGUUAAAAAUGUGAAGGUUUGAAUUAUUUACAAGUUUGAUCGGGAGUUGACUUUUAUGAUAUCAAACUCGGAUAGUAUUUCCGGAUAUUUCAGUAGCUCCGUUCUGUCAUUUAUGCCUUGUACGCAAAAUUUGAGUUCAUUUCAAAUUGAUUUGAUAUGUUUCGGCACGAGAUUUGGAAAUUGAAAAUUUAAAGUUCAUUAAGUUUGAAUUGAGGUGCGAUUUGUCAUUUCGAUGUUGUUAUGUGUGAUUUGAGGCCUCGAGUAAGUCCGUAUUAUGUUAUGGUACUUGUUGGUAUGUUCGGUCGAGGUGCCGAGUGGCUCGGGUGAGUUACAAACGUGUGUCAGAUUGUUUUCAUUCAUGUGUGAUGGUUGGCCUUUGCUGGACCUGGUGUGACCGCACCUGCGGAAUAUUAGGCGUAGGUGCAGAGCCGCAAAUGUGUCAUGUGAACGCAGAAGCGAAGUGAAGUUGGAGCAAGACAUCCGCAGAAGCGAGGAAAUAAACUGCAUCUACGGUAGCUCAGACGCGGAAGGAGUGAUCGCAGAAGCGGCGAUGUGCGUAGAAGCGCAACGUGUGUCACACCUGCACUUGUGCAGAAGCGGGUACUAUUGCGUAGGUGCGGAAGGGCGGAUUUCCAGUGCUUUCCGCAUAAGCGGAGGUUUGUCGCAAAAGCGACGCCGUAGAAGUGGCCCUUUUGUUCGCAAAAGCGAAGAUGGCUGGGCAGAAGCUAUAUUUCGAGGUCUUUGGUUCUUUUUCUCAUUUUCGGAUUUUGGAGCUCUGUUUGAGCGACCUUGGAGAGGAAUGUAACCCACGAAUUGGGGUAAGUAUUCUUGACUCGAUUGUGAAUAUAUUUCAUGAAUUAAUCUUCGUUUUCGGCGUUGGAUUAUUGAUAUUUAAAGAGAAAUCGGAGGAAUUGUCUAUUAUUUCAUAAAAUAAAUUUUCGAGAUUUGAAUGUCGAUUCGGAGUUGGAUUUGAGUGAAAUUAGUAUGGUUGGACUCGUAAUUGAAUGGGUUAUCGGAUUUUGUAAGGUUUGUCGGGUUUCGAGAAGUGGGCCCCAUAGUUGACUUUUUGAGCGGAGUUGGAAAUUUUUUAUAAAUUGUUAAAUUGUAAGCAUUAGAGUAUAUUUUGAUUAAUUUGUACAUUAUUUGACUAGUUUCUGAUCGUUUGGCUUGAAUUGAGGAGAUAGGAAGGCGUUCAGAGGUUGAUACGCGCAGAAUGAAAUUCCCGGAGCAUUAUUUAGCUUGCUCGGCAUUUGAUUCGGCUUGUUCGAGGUAAGUAACAUUUCUAAACUUGGUGUUGACGGUAUGAACCCUGAAUAUACCUGUUAUGUGAUUGGUUUGGAGGUGAUGCACAUGCUAGGUGACGGGCGUGAAGGUGUACACCGUAGAAAUUGUGACUCAAUUGAUUCCGUGGAACUAUGUAGUCGAAUAAUCUUGGCAUUAUCCAUGUAUUUUCAUGUGCUAAAGAAAUUGAUCUAAGACUCAUGUAAAAAAAAAUCAUGUUGAGGCUAUAUGCUAGUAUUAUUGAGACCCACAUAGGUCGUAUUGCUAUUGAAUUGUUUGUUUAAAUUGUAAUUUCAUACUCAAUUAUGUUCAUUCAUUUCAUAUCAUAUCUCAGUCUCUGUUGCUAAUUAUUGAUACAUCAUACUAUGAUUUUUGGGCUGAUUUUCAUGAUAUUUUGAGCCCGAGAGACUGGAGAGAUUGAUGACUGAGUGAGGCCGAGGGCCUGAUUAUUAGGAUAUUUAUGAGAUCGAGCUGUACACCGCAGCAAACCAUAUUGGCUUUAUACACGUUAUUAUUAUAUGGAUCGGGCUGCACGCCAUAACAGGCCAGAUUAUCGUAUUAUAGCGCUUGGGCUGAAGUAGCCCCUCCGGAGUCUGCACACCCACAGUGAGCGCAUGUACCUACUGAGUGCGAGUGCCGAAUGAUUUGGGAGGAUUGAGUGACUGUGAGGCAUGCGUGACUGUAAGGAUUGAGUGACUGGGAGGACUGGGUGAAUUGAUACUCUGAGAGUACGCAUAUGGUUGUAUCACUAUGUUACAUUGCAUUUGACAUGCACAUUUGACAUACAUGCAUAGAGAUGCAUUUUUCCUCAUGCCAUUUGAUAAUAAAAUUUCUUAUUGUGGAAGAAAAUUUUUGGGAAAAAUUACAGUUUUCAAAAUUUCUCAUAUUUCGGUGAUUUCGGCAAAAGAUUUAAGUUUUACUGUUAUACUUGAAAAGCAAAUGUCUAUUUUCCGGAACUGUGGACGAGCUGGGCACUUUAUUGUUGAGUUACUAUUUGUGUUACUUUCUUUAUAUUGUCAUGAAUUGUUACUGGUUAUUGGUGUUGGACUCUGACUUUUGUCCCAUCUCGUCACUACUUUCAACCUAAGGUUAGGUUUAUUACUUACUGAGUACAUUGGGUCGGUUGUACUCAUACUACACUUCUGCACCUUACGUGCAGAUUUCAGAUGUUAAUUUUGCUGUGUAUGGCGGGAGCGGGUAUUGAAGAUGUACCUACGAUCCGGUCAUAGCUGCCUCUUGUUCAUGGUAGCUUUAGAAUUUUUAAUUUGUUCAUGUAUAUUUCAAACAAAUGAUGUAUUUUAUUCAUACCAGUUUUGUAAAUUCAAAAUCUUAGAAGCUCAUGAUUUGUACUACCAGUCCUUGGGAAGUGUAUAAAGGUUCAGUUAUUUUAUU
rnacentral:lncRNA from 1 species